AUUUUAUCUAUUUUAUCCCACGAAAACAAACAAAUCAACAAAAACAAACAUAAAACCCUUCAGGGGCUCCACAGCUUUGCAAAACUGAAGUGCACACCCCUCUGGCUGGCAGGCAGGGCCCUCUGCCUUUCCAGGCUUCUUGGCUGCUCCUGGCCAUCCGCCCAGUCCUGGCCCAGCUCCACCAGGCCUUCUCCAAUCCUGUGUCUGCCAUUCUUGCCACCUCCUGGGGUAACUGGCCACUCCUGUGCCACUAACCGCCCUGCCCUGCCACCUCCUAGGCCUCAACUCUGAGUCAUCUGGGCUCAAACAGGGCUGUCUGCUCAGUAACCACAUGGACCUAGAGAGGAAGGAGAGCCAGCAGAGGCAGGGCUGGCCAAAGUCACUCCUAGGGUACAGUGUGUGCUCGAGCAGAAAGGCCAUUGGAUCUGGCAUCAGAAGACAGAGUUUCCAGGGCCACCUCUGCCACCAGCUAACAGGGUGACUAUGGACAAGCCACUGCCCUCUCUGGACCUGCCUCCUCUUCUGUAAAAUGAGAGGAUUGGACUGGGAGCUGCAGGAGGGCUUUCAAUUCCAGGCUUUGGGGACUAAACUUGGGCACAGAGGACAGCAAGACAGAAGCCAUCUUCUUCAAAGGACAAAGUGGCCCUCAAAAUUUCAAGUGAUUUUCUUCUCACCAGGGCACCUGGAGCAGCCUUUAAAGGUUCUUGAGAGAUAAAUGAAAUGAAGGUAAUGCACCAAAGUAAAGAGUUUUGAGGCUGAAUUAUGCCAUGAUUUUAGCGUCUGUUAUAUUAGGAUUUUCAUAAAAGAAAUUAUCCAGAGGAAAUAAAAGUUCCUCAUUCUACUCUUAGCCUACACAUGUAAAUCUGGGAGGUGGAGCUGGGUAUCAGUAACUCAUGGUUGAAUGCAGAGGCCAUCCCAAGAGGCAGUAGAGUGGGCGUGACAAUGGAAGACUAUAUAACCCUGACAAGGGUCUCAGGACACCUGCCUGCUGCCAUGUGAUGGAUGAGUCUCAAUCAAGGCUGCUAUCUGACCCCCUUCAUGAAGCAUUCAGAAGUGGAUGGAAUUGGCAGUGUUUUUCCUGAUUCCACAGGAUUCCAGCAUGAAUGAAAAGGAAGAAACUUCUGAGGUGAGCCAUGAGGUGAACAAAUGUCCAGGGCACUGUGCCAAGUGAAAGAGCCAGACCUGGGUGUCCACACACUGAUCCCAGGGGCAGUGAGUGGUGAAUGCUGACAUUAACAAGCUGAGGAAAUGAAAUUGACUGAACUUUCUGGAAAUGGGCAAACUGUACCAGGGAUAUUCAUCACACCGUCAUUUACACGUGGAGAACCUGGAAACAGCUCGAUGCCAAGGUCUGUCUAUGGAACAAGCUUUAUUUGGAGGGUUUCUCUGGAGGAAUAAAGUCAAGAAGAGGCAAGAUGUGCUCUUAGAAUAAGAGAAGGAUGCACCCUCCUAGAUACUGACAUCAACACUUAUUCCACGACUAUGAUGACUAAGACAAUGUGGAACUGACACAGGGGCAGACAGACUGACCAUGAUAGGGAGCCCAGAGACAGACCGCAGAAAUGGUGCUUGACAGAUGACAUACAAACAGAAAAUAAGUGGAAGUUUGAUAUGUGACCAGAAUGGCAUUGCAUAUCAAUAUGGUAAAAAAGGACUAUUUGGUAAACUGUGCUGGGCAAUUGAUGAGCCAAGUGGAAGAAAAAAAAAGAAAAGAAAAAAACUGACCCAUUAUCUCACACACACACACAAAAUUUUAGAAGCUGGAAUGUAAAUGUGAAGAGCAAAAAAUAAAUUUGUUUUAUUUUUAGGGCUGAACCUGCAGCACAUGGAAGUUCCCUGUCUAGGAGUCAAACUGAAGCUGCAGCCUACACAGUGUCUGUGACCUACACCAAGCUCAUGGCAACGCUGCAUCCUUAAUCCACCAAGUGAGGCCAGGGACUGAACCUACAUCCUCUCGGAUAUCAGUCAGAUUCUUAACCCACUGAGCCAUAACAGGAACUCCUGAAAAGCAAAACUUUAAACCUUUGGAAGAAAACAUAAUACUGUGCUCUUUGAUAUAACUGGCACUAGGCACAUGUAGCUAUUUAAAUUCAAUUUUAAAAUCAUUAAAAUGAAAUAAAAUUUAAAAUUUAAUCCCCGAGUUACACCGGCCACAUUUCAAGUAUUCAGUAGCCACAUGUGGACAGUGGCUACAGUCCUUGGCAGCAGAGAUAGAGAACUUUACCUCACUGUGGAAAGUUCUGUUGAGUAACACUGAUAUAGAAGAAUAUCUUUCCAAACUUGGGAUAGGAAAGUGUUUCUUUCUUUCCUUUUUCAACAUUUUUUUGCCAUACCCACAGCAUGUAUAAGUUCUUGGGCCAGAGAGUGAAUCUGUGCCAUAGCAGCAACCAAAGCCACAGCAGUAACAACACCAGAUCCUUAACUGCCUGAGCUACCAGAGAACUUCAGGAAGUGUUUCUUAAGAAGACACAAAAUAUACUUUUCACGAAAGAAAAUAUUGAUAAUUUGGAGUUCCCAUCAUGGUGCAGCAGAUGAACCCGACUAGGAACCAUGAGGUUGUGGGUUCGAUCCCUGGCCUCGCUCAGUGGGUUAAGGAUCUGGUGUUGCCAUGAGCUUUGGAACAGGACCCAGAGGCAGCUUGGAUCUGGCGUUGCUGUGACUGUGGUGUAGGCCAGCAGCUGUAGCUCCCUGAUUAGACCCCUAGCGUGGGAACCUCCAUAUGCCAUGGGUGCAGCCC